UACGUAGGGUGCGAGCGUUAAUCGGAAUUACUGGGCGUAAAGUGUGCGCAGGCGGCCGCGCAAGUCGAGUGUGAAAGCCCCGAGCUUAACUUGGGAAUUGCGCUCGAAACUACGUGGCUGGAGUGUGGCAGAGGAAGGUGGAAUUCCACGUGUAGCGGUGAAAAUGCGUAGAGAUGUGGAGGAACACCAAUGGCGAAGGCAGCCUUCUGGGCCAACACUGACGCUCAUGCACGAAAGCGUGGGGAGCAAACAGG
rnacentral:rRNA from 1 species